UUGCGCAAGUCAUGUUUUAUUGAGCAAUAUUAGCAAUCCUUUGCUGCGGUCGCGGGCCUAUUCUUAACACCAGAAUCACUGCCCGGACAUACAGUCCACUGCGGCCCGCCGAAUCAGGCCAGCCGCGGCCGCCAGCCCCACAGGGGUGUACCGGCCCCCGGGCUACGCACUGUCCAGAAGACGGCGCGAGGUGAGCCAACAUCACGAGUGUUGAGCCAGGACAGAAAAAUUCAAAGGGCGACCGACGGGUCGCCCU
rnacentral:sRNA from 1 species